rnacentral:rRNA from 1 species
GACGAACGCUGGCGGCGUGCUUAACACAUGCAAGUCGAACGGAAAGGCCCUGCUUGCAGGGUACUCGAGUGGCGAACGGGUGAGUAACUCGUGGGUGAUCUGCCCUGCACUUCGGGAUAAGCUUGGGAAACUGGGUCUAAUACCGGAUAGGAGCCAUCUUUAGUGUGGUGGUUGGAAAGUUUUUUCGGUGUAGGAUGCGCUCGCGGCCUAUCAGCUUGUUGGUGGGGUAAUGGCCUACCAAGGCGGCGACGGGUAGCCGGCCUGAGAGGGUGUACGGCCACAUGGGGCCUGAGAUGCGGGCCAGACUCCGACGCGAGGCAGAAGUGGGGAAUAUUGCACAAUGGGAGCAAGCCUGAUGCAGCGACGGCGCGUGGGGGAUGAAGGCCUUCGGGUUGUAAACUCCUUUCGCUAGGGACGAAGGUUUUUUGUGACGGUACCUAGAGAAGAAGCACCGGCUAACUACGUG